rnacentral:misc_RNA from 1 species
CAUUGUCGUGACCCUGACCAAAAUAGACCGUGAACGCGUAAUCCAGCCCGCCGUCGGCGACUCACCUCGUCGUUCGGCCAAGUCCUCGACAACCUCCUCUCCUCGGAGCGGGGGCUCGGGGUAAAAGAACCCACGGCGCCUAAGGCGUCAAGGAACACUAUGCCUAACUCGGGGACGCGGCUAGCUUGCUGGCCGCCCCCCGUGUUGCAAAGCUAUAUAAUCCACACGACUCUCGGCAACGGAUAUCUCGGCUCUCGCAUCGAUGAAGAACGUAGCGAAAUGCGAUACCUGGUGUGAAUUGCAGAAUCCCGCGAACCAUCGAGUCUUUGAACGCAAGUUGCGCCCGAGGCCAUUCGGCCGAGGGCACGCCUGCCUGGGCGUCACGCCAAACACGCUCCCAAAACCCCUCAUCGGGGAUCGGGACGCGGCUUGUGGCCCCCC